UUCCACCAUCUCGUGUCCCCC
rnacentral:miRNA from 1 species